GGGGAUUUAGCUCAGUGGUUCUGGCGCCUGUCUUGCAAGCACAUGGUCCUGAGUUCGAUUCCCAGUAUCCCCC
rfam:Heterocephalus glaber contig159627, whole genome shotgun sequence.